AAGGGACCGUGCAGUUAGUGCUUUUGCACGAUGGGUCUAUGAUGCUGGGCUCCCCUUCAAUUGUGUCAACUAUGACACUUUUGGAGACUUUAUUGAACUUGUUGGUCAAUACGGACCUGGAAUGAAGUGUCCAACUUACCAUGAAAUAAGGGGUCCUUAUCUAAAUAAGGAAGUGGAGGACACAAACAAAAUUUUUGAGGAGCAUAAACUUGUGUGGAACAAGUAUGGCUGCUCCAUUAUGAUGGACAAGUGGACGGCAAGAACGGGAAAGAUGAUUAUUAAUGUGUUGGUGAAUUCUCCCCGGGGAAGUGCUCCAUUAUGAUAGAUAAGUGGACGGCAAGAAUGGGGAAAAUGAUUAUUAAUGUGUUGGUGAAUUCUCCCCGGGAAAGUUUGUUUCUUGAGUCCAUUGAUGCUAGCGACUCAUCUACCGACCACAUCAAAAUAUUCACCUUGUUUCAGAACACCAUCGAAAAGAUUGGUCCAAGCAAAGUUGUUCAAGUGGUAACUGAUAAUGCAAGUGAAAAAAAGAAAGCGGGUGGCAUGAUUGAAGGAGCGUACAAGCAUGUGCAUUGGACUCCAUGUGCGGCUCAUUGUAUCAACUUGAUGUUCGGGGACAUUUUCAAAGAAAACCCCUUUUCUACAGUUUUUAGCCAGGGUGUUAGAGUAUAUUCUUAUAUUUCUCAGCGACCCUAGUUAUUGAAUUUGAUGAGAAAAUUCACCAAUCAAAAAAAUUUGGUGAAACCGGCCAAGACAAG
rnacentral:lncRNA from 1 species